GAAACUCCAAUACAAAACACUAUAUAUAUGUACUAUUCCUUCCUCAACAAAACCAACAAGAUUAAGCAAUCAAGAACCAUGGCAACCACCUGCAAGUAUCUUAUUGUCAUCAUCUUCCUUACUCUGCUCAUCACGGGAACCUAUUGCCAAUGUCCAUUGAACAGCCUCUUCAUUAUCACAAGAAUGACUGGUGCAAAAAUAGGAGGCAAAACUCAAUGGAGGGUUACUGUAGUUAACAAGUGCAAUUGUCCACUAAGCCAAAUAAUAUUGAAUUGUGAAGGGUUUCAAAGUACAAUGCCUAUUGACCGUACAAUUCUUCUUAAGAGAGGUGAUAAUUGUCUCUUAUAUAAUGGCCAUGCAUUGAGUGGAAAUGAUGCUAAUCAAUUUGCCUAUGCUUGGGAUACACCCUUUAAUCUUUAUCCUGUAAGUGCUGUUACAGGUAGUCCUUGCAAAUAAGGCUUGACUUUGAUUCAACUCAUUUUGGGAAAGUUAACUUCUUUGAUGUAAAAUACUUUUAUAAGGCUUGAGUUACAUUCAACUCAAAUUUUAGAUAAUUAAUAAAAACAUCACCAUUUAAAUUUAA